CGUAGGUAUUUUAUUUUUGAAAUACCUAUUAGUUCUUGUAUAAUAUAAUAUAAUUAUUGUCUUAUUCUCCACAUAUUGUAUUUUACGUAUUUUAUUUAAUAAUUUAAUACUUUAUCAAUCAUAUAACUACCUAAAUUUACUUAUUACACUUGAAUUAGAUGCUUGGUGAUUACAUUUGUACAAUUUAUUGUUUAAUCAUUUAUACAUAAUACACUAUUUUUGUUCAAAUGUAUACCUAACCAAGGAACACUGGUACUUACUGGAUAAUACAUGAGUUGUUAUACAAUGAAGUGGCAUAAUAUGACAACACAGAAAUAUUGCGAUAAUAUUUCCAUAUUAUUUAAAAUUAGUCAUUACAAUUUAUACUCAGCUGGACACAGGGUUUUUCAUGAAAGUCUAUACCUACUCUACAAAUGUUAUAUCAAAAUCUCCACUUUUUAGUUCCUAAACUAAAAGUGAAUAGAAAAUUAUUUAUCUACAUAAUAUGUGAUGAUUCAAAAUCAGUUUCACAUAGGUCAUUUUACCUAAUUUAAAUAUGCCAUAAUGGAAUCAGCUACCUAUGACACACAAUUCAGAAGAUCCUGUAUGUUAAAAUUAUAUUCAUUUAUAACUGCUAUGUUUAAUUACAUUUUAAAAUGGUAACUGUGAAAAAUUUUAAUUUUUCACAUAUUGGAUUUAAAUAUUUCAACAGACUACAGAACAAAAUAAAAUAUUCAAGACAAUUGCAAAGAAGUGGGAAAAAUGUAGCUGGACUAAGUGCAUACAUAUUACAAAUGAUGUGUAUUGAAACUAAAAAUGUUGUGAAUGUUAAUGUUUUGUACUUUGUAUGAUAUUUUAAUUAAUUUAAAUGAGGUGACAACAUCAAUCAUUACAAAUCAAAAGAUAAAAUAAUGUAUGUUGUGUUUAAUACACACAAUAUAAUAUGUAGAUUGUGUAAAUCAAAUAAAGAAUUUAAAAAAAAAUAAAAUAGGUAUGUGAUUUAUAAUUAUUUUUCAGUUAUUACUUUAACAAUAGUAUAAAUGCUCAAUGUAAAGUAUUUAAAAAAAUAUAAAUGUAUUAUUAUUAAUAUACAUAUAUUUUUUUUAAUUAUAUUAGUAUUACAUUGUAUAAUGAUAAAUACUUAAUUACUUUUGUCAAUGAUUGGUGUUGUCAUUAAAUAAUAAUUAGUACUAAAUUCAAAUAAGAAUAUUAUUAACACCAUUUUUAAAUUUUACUAAGUCUGGGGUGAUUGAAAAGUUUGUUUUAAUUUUUUGAAUACAUGUUUUAUCUUUACUCAUAUUUUGCAUAACUGCAAAACGAACAUUUUGAUUAAACUGUAUCAUCAUUUUGAAAUAGAUUUUUCAUAGUCCUGGGCUUAUUAAAGUAAAAUUGUUUAAUGGUUCACGAUAAUAUCAGUAUAAAAUGUGAGAAAUUCGGUCGUGAACAGGGUUCAGGGAUAAACAGAACCUAAAAUCAUCAAAUCAAACAUUUAAAUAAUCAAAAUUAAGCAAUCUAAAACAUGGUUAUUCUCUCCUUAGUUUUUGUUAGUGGUUAUCACUUGCAUCAUAUUAAAGUAGAAAAUAUACAUUAAAAAAUUUAAAAUGUGUUAAAAAGAACACUCUAAAAUGUGGGUGCUAUAAUAUUUCAUAUUUUAAAAACAUUAAAUUGAUGGCAUUUCACUAUAAUAAUGAUAGUUAAAUCUAAAAAAACAAGGGGUGCUAAAUUAGAGCUUGGCGUGCUAAAGACCCUUCUGUGACAAUGGUCUCAAACCCUGUUCAUGACAUUGAGAAUAUGAUUUUUUUUAUAAUUAUUUAAGUUUAUUAGUGCCUUAUGUAUUUGCAUGUAUAUCAUUAUUAUUUAAAUACCUACCUAUUGAUUAAAUUCAUGUGAUUGGUCAAAAAGACCUAGUCCUACCAAGUAUAUUACAACUAUUGAAGUGACCUAUGGCGAAUUAUUUAUAUUAUACUAAUAUUUGAUUUGGAAUUGUAAAUGCAUUAAAUUGAAAUUGUAAACAUAAAAAAAAGUUGUUUAUACCUAAUAUUAAAUUAGUUCAGAGUUAUAUUUAUUAGGUAUUAUAUAAUGUUAACUUGUUGAAAAUAUUAUUUAAAUUUAUGUUGGUAUUGUAUUUCCAGAUUUGUAAUAAAUUGUAAUUUUAAUACCA